UAAGUUGCAGUCAUUCGCAUUAAAGUUG
rnacentral:sRNA from 1 species